CGUUGUAAGACAAGAAGCACUUGAAGAGGCGACAGAGGUCUAGGCUGUAGCUGAAGAUAUGAAUCUGGGGAAAGGAGAAGAGUUAGAGGCUUCACACCUGGAGUGGUCAUCAUGGGCUUGAAGGACCACUUCCCUCUAGGUCAUCUGGCAGGACAAGGUUGGCUUCUCCUUAUCACUGGUGUGUCCUGUCCUGCCCAAAGCAAUCAGCAUAAUUCUGUCAAAGGCUGCAGAUCUGAGCUGGCAACGGAACUUGUUUGGGUGUCCUGAAUGCAUGCACCUUGGAGAACUUCAGGAAAAAUGAUUUACCUUAUUUUGGGGGGGGUGCUCUUUCAGCCAUCCCUGUUUGUUUGACUGUAUUGACUGAUGGAAGUGAGUCAAAAUGGUGAUCUAGCUAGAUGGACUCACAGAAUUCUGUAGGUUACAGUGGUCAGUCUUGGGGGGGACAGGGAAAAACAUUUUGGGAAAAUGGGGAUUGGAUGGAAAAAAAAGGAAGGGAAUUGUUUAUGGAACCAAAUGAAAAUUCCUGGUAUAAAUAACUGUGGGUAGGAAGUAGGGUGUUGGGCACCCAGAGCUAGGGGGCCUGUCGGGAAAGGGCAGCCUGGAGAGAAAGAGGUGGUGGCUUCACCUGUGGGGGCUUACACUCAGCAUAGCAGCCAAGGCAGAGUAGGGGAGUGGGUGAGGGACUUGGCCUACACACUGAUUGCUCUCUUGACUCCCACACCCACGGGCCAAAGUUUCUCAAAUUGUAGCCUUCAGACUAUCUGCAAAACAAUCACUUGGAGAACUUGUUAAAAAUGUUGUCUUGAACCUUAAACCCCGAUGCAGUACGGAGUAAGACUCAGACACUCGCAUUUAUGCACACACCCCAGAUGGUUCUUUCCUGUGGUACAGUUUGCAGACCAUGGUUGAGGCUUUGGACUACCUGUCCCUGGGGAAGUGACUUUUCUUCUGUGUUCCUUUUCCAGACGGCCACAGAUUUGUUCCAGGGGAUGACCCCAGAUGUCCUCAGCAGCUGUGACUCUCUUGGGGCCCAUACAUUUAGCCCCACGGGAGGCCCCCAAACUACUUAACUUCAGGGCAUUAGAAAUGAAAUACUUCACCCAGUCUUCCAAAUCCAACUUCUCUGACACCCCCAACCCCUUUUUCAUUCUAUUCUUUUCUUCUCUCUCUCUCUCUUUCUUUUGCAACUGGGUUUAAAAACUCUGAACAUUCCUACCUCCUCCUCUCCGUCAGUCUUUUCUCCACCCAACCAGUUCCGGUGUGAGUAGAUUGUUCCUUCCUAGUGUCUCCAGUUUUCAUGGAGUUCCCUCCAAUUUCCUGUAUCUGGGCUUAGGGCCUCCUUUCCUCAGGCUGACCGGGCUUUCCUGUGACUGUGGGAUGCAGGACUUUCCAGGCUAACACUAGAAAGGUCCUGGGCAAGCUGGGAUGAGUCGGACACCCUGCGCCUGGGCCACUACAGCGAGUUCUCCUGGCUCCCCCAGCAGAUGGUCUUUCCUCUCCACAGGCCAUUCCCUUACCAUCUCCACUUGAAUUUCAUAAUUUUGAAUAAGUCGUGAUUCAUUCCCCUAAAACCUUCAGCCUUCAAGGACUUCAUUUGCUUUCUAAUGAGUUUAAAUUAAUUCCCGAAGCAUUCAAGUCCCUAGUAAUCUGACCCCAAAAUGCCUGUCAGAGUCAGCUUGGGCUCACAUCACAAAACACCACCACCAUGUAUCCCUUUCUGUUUUUCUUGAGGCUGGAAGUUCCAAGUCAACAGUUCCU